GACGAACGCUGGCGGCGUGCUUAAUACAUGCAAGUCGAACGGAAAGGCCCUGCUUUUGUGGGGUGCUCGAGUGGCGAACGGGUGAGUAACACGUGAGUAACCUGCCCUUGACUUUGGGAUAACUUCAGGAAACUGGGGCUAAUACCGGAUAGGAGCUCCUGCUGCAUGGUGGGGGUUGGAAAGUUUCGGCGGUUGGGGAUGGACUCGCGGCUUAUCAGCUUGUUGGUGGGGUAGUGGCUUACCAAGGCUUUGACGGGUAGCCGGCCUGAGAGGGUGACCGGCCACAUUGGGACUGAGAUACGGCCCAGACUCCUACGGGAGGCAGCAGUGGGGAAUAUUGCACAAUGGGCGGAAGCCUGAUGCAGCAACGCCGCGUGCGGGAUGACGGCCUUCGGGUUGUAAACCGCUUUCGCCUGUGACGAAGCGUGAGUGACGGUAAUGGGUAAAGAAGCACCGGCUAACUACGUGCCAGCAGCCGCGGUGAUACGUAGGGUGCGAGCGUUGUCCGGAUUUAUUGGGCGUAAAGGGCUCGUAGGUGGUUGAUCGCGUCGGAAGUGUAAUCUUGGGGCUUAACCCUGAGCGUGCUUUCGAUACGGGUUGACUUGAGGAAGGUAGGGGAGAAUGGAAUUCCUGGUGGAGCGGUGGAAUGCGCAGAUAUCAGGAGGAACACCAGUGGCGAAGGCGGUUCUCUGGGCCUUUCCUGACGCUGAGGAGCGAAAGCGUGGGGAGCGAACAGGCUUAGAUACCCUGGUAGUCCACGCUGUAAACGGUGGGUACUAGGUGUGGGGUCCAUUCCACGGGUUCCGUGCCGUAGCUAACGCUUUAAGUACCCCGCCUGGGGAGUACGGCCGCAAGGCUAAAACUCAAAGGAAUUGACGGGGCCCCGCACAAGCGGCGGAGCAUGCGGAUUAAUUCGAUGCAACGCGUAGAACCUUACCUGGGUUUGACAUGGAUCGGGAGUGCUCAGAGAUGGGUGUGCCUCUUUUGGGGUCGGUUCACAGGUGGUGCAUGGCUGUCGUCAGCUCGUGUCGUGAGAUGUUGGGUUAAGUCCCGCAACGAGCGCAACCCUUGUUCACUGUUGCCAGCACGUUAUGGUGGGGACUCAGUGGAGACCGCCGGGGUCAACUCGGAGGAAGGUGGGGAUGACGUCAAGUCAUCAUGCCCCUUAUGUCCAGGGCUUCACGCAUGCUACAAUGGCUGGUACAGAGAGUGGCGAGCCUGUGAGGGUGAGCGAAUCUCGGAAAGCCGGUCUCAGUUCGGAUUGGGGUCUGCAACUCGACCUCAUGAAGUCGGAGUCGCUAGUAAUCGCAGAUCAGCAACGCUGCGGUGAAUACGUUCCCGGGGCU
rnacentral:rRNA from 1 species